AGAUUGAACGCUGGCGGCAUGCCUAACACAUGCAAGUCGAACGGGAGUAGCAAUACUCUAGUGGCGGACGGGUGAGGAAUACGUAGGAAUUUGCCCUUAAGUGGGGGAUAACCCGGGGAAACCCGGAUUAAUACCGCAUGACCUCGAAAGAGCAAAGUGGGGGAUCGCAAGACCUCACGCUUUUGGAGAAGCCUACGUCGGAUUAGCUAGUUGGUGAGGUAAUGGCUCACCAAGGCGACGAUCCGUAACUGGUCUGAGAGGAUGAUCAGUCACACCGGACUGAGACGACGGUCCGGACUCCGUACGGGAGGCAGCAGUGGGAAUGUGGACAAGUGGG
rnacentral:rRNA from 1 species